AUUGAACGCUGGCGGCAUGCCUUACACAUGCAAGUCGAACGGCAGCACGGGAGCAAUCCUGGUGGGGAGUGGCGAACGGGUGAGUAAAGUAUCGGAACGUGCCCAGUCGUGGGGGAUAACGUAGCGAAAGUUACGCUAAUACCGCAUACGAUCUAUGGAUGAAAGCGGGGGAUCGCAAGACCUCGCGCGAUUGGAGCGGCCGAUAGCAGAUUAGGUAGUUGGUGGGGUAAAGGCCUACCAAGCCGACGAUCUGUAGCUGGUCUGAGAGGACGACCAGCCACACUGGGACUGAGACACGGCCCAGACUCCUACGGGAGGCAGCAGUGGGGAAUUUUGGACAAUGGGCGCAAGCCUGAUCCAGCCAUGCCGCGUGCAGGAUGAAGGCCUUCGGGUUGUAAACUGCUUUUGUACGGAACGAAAAGGUUUCUUUUAAUACAGGGAACUGAUGACGGUACCGUAAGAAUAAGCACCGGCUAACUACGUGCCAGCCGCCGCCGUAA
rnacentral:rRNA from 1 species